UACGUAGGAUGCAAGCGUUGUCCGGAAUUAUUGGGCGUAAAGAGCUCGUAGGCGGUUCGUCGCGUCGGCUGUGAAAUCCCGGAGCUCAACUCCGGGUCUGCAGUCGAUACGGGCGGACUCGAGUUCGGCAGGGGAGACUGGAAUUCCUGGUGUAGCGGUGAAAUGCGCAGAUAUCAGGAGGAACACCGGUGGCGAAGGCGGGUCUCUGGGCCGAUACUGACGCUGAGGAGCGAAAGCGUGGGGAGCGAACAGG
rnacentral:rRNA from 1 species